rnacentral:rRNA from 1 species
GACGUAGGGGCCGAGCGUUGUCCGGAGUUACUGGGCGUAAAGCGCGCGCAGGCGGCGCAUCUGGCCCGGCGUGAAAGCCCCCGGCUCAACCGGGGAGGGUCGUCGGGGACCGGUGCGCUUGAGGGCGGUAGGGGCUGGUGGAAUUCCCGGUGUAGUGGUGAAAUGCGCAGAUAUCAGGAGGAACACCGGUGGCGAAGGCGGGUCUCUGGGCCGAUACUGACGCUGAGGAGCGAAAGCGUGGGGAGCGAACAGG